ensembl:miRNA mdo-mir-7373b mdo-mir-7373b
AAGCCCUUCUGUUAGUAGUUGAGUUAUCUUACUCAGCUACCAAUGAAGGGCGUGC